rnacentral:rRNA from 1 species
AUAACUCUGGGCCAGAAGGCGCGGAAAUGAAGAGGGUGCGAGGGGUAGACGGAGUCACGGGGGGUAAGGCGGAAGUAGGCGGAUUUGCAGGGGUCGUGGGAAAUACCUCAGCUCAGCUGAGGAACUGCAGGGCGAACGGCAAGUCUUGAGACAGGGAGGGGCGGUCGGAACGAUAGGUGGAGUGGUGAAAUGCGUUGAUAUCUAUCGGAAUGCCGAAGGUGAAAACAGACCGCUGGGCCUGCUCUGACGCUGAGGUACGAAAGCGUGGGGAGCGAACGGGAUUAGAUACCCCAGUAGUC